rnacentral:rRNA from 1 species
UACGUAGGAGGCGAGCGUUGUCCGGAGUUACUGGGCGUAAAGGGUGCGCAGGCGGCUUCGCGCGUGUUGGGUGAAAUCUCCCGGCUCAACUGGGAGGGGGCUCAGCAGACGGCGGAGCUUGAGGCUCGGAGGGGGGCGUGGAAUUCCGGGUGGAGCGGUGAAAUGCGUAGAGAUCGGGAGGAACACCAGUGGCGAAGGCGGCCAUCUGGCUCGGUACUGACGCUCAGGUUCGAAAGCGUGGGGAGCAAACAGG